AGUGAACGCUGGCGGUAGGCCUAACACAUGCCAGUCGAACGACAACACAGUAAGAGCGUUCUCUUAAGGUUGGCGAGUGGCGGACGGGUGAGGAAUACAUCGCAAUCUAAUUUUUCGUGGGGGAUAACGGAGGGAAACUUACGCUAAUACCGCAUACGACCUACGGGUGGAAGCAAUAGAGCAUGAGACCUUGCGCGACUGAUAUAGCUGAAGUCGGAUUAGCUAGUUGGCUUGGUAAAGGCCCACCAAGGCGACGAUCCGUAGCUGGUCUGAGAGGAUGAUCGGCCACACUGGAACUGAGACACGGUCCAGACUCCUACGGGAGGCAGCAGUGGGGAAUAUUGGACAAUGGGCGCAAGCCUGAUCCAGCAAUACCGCGUGGGUGAAGAAGGUCUUCGGGUUGUAAAGCUCUUUUGUUGGGAAAGAACAACAGCAGAUUUAUAUCCCGCUGUUUUGACGGUACCCAAAGAGUAAGCAACGGCUAACUUCGUG
rnacentral:rRNA from 1 species